GACGGGGGGGGGGGCAAGGGUUCUUCGGAAUGACUGGGCGUAAAGGGCACGUAUGCGGUGAAUCGGGUUGAAAGUGAAAGUCGCCAAAAAGUGGCGGAAUGCUCUCGAAACUAAUUCACUUGAGUGAGACAGAGGAGAGUGGAAUUUUGUGUGUAGGGGUGAAAUCCAUAGAUCUACGAAGGAACGCCAAAAGCGAAGGCAGCUCUCUGGGUCCCUACCGACGCUGGGGUGUGAAAGCACGGGGAGCGAACAGG
rnacentral:rRNA from 1 species